UACGGAGGGGGCUAGCGUUGUUCGGAAUUACUGGGCGUAAAGCGCACGUAGGCGGAUCUUAAGUCGGUGGUGAAAUCCUGGAGCUCAACUCCAGAACUGCCUUCGAUACUGGGAGUCUUGAGCUCGGGAGAGGUGAGUGGAACUGCGAGUGUAGAGGUGAAAUUCGUAGAUAUUCGCAAGAACACCAGUGGCGAAGGCGGACUCACUGGCCCGGUACUGACGCUGAGGUGCGAAAGCGUGGGGAG
rnacentral:rRNA from 1 species